GACGAACGCUGGCGGCGCGCCUAACACAUGCAAGUCGAACGGAGUUAUUUCAGCAGAAGCUUUCGGGUGGACGCAGGGAUAACUUAGUGGCGAACGGGUGAGUAACACGUGAGGAACCUGCCCUGGAGUGGGGGACAACAGUUGGAAACGACUGCUAAUACCGCAUAAGCCCACGGUGCCGCAUGGCACAGCGGGAAAAGGAUUUAUUCGCUUCAGGAUGGACUCGCGUCCAAUUAGCUAGUUGGUGAGGUAACGGCCCACCAAGGCGACGAUUGGUAGCCGGACUGAGAGGUUGAACGGCCACAUUGGGACUGAGACACGGCCCAG
rnacentral:rRNA from 1 species